rnacentral:rRNA from 1 species
AGCGUACACGGUGGAUGCCCUGGCAGUCAGAGGCGAUGAAGGACGUGCUAAUCUGCGAUAAGCGUCGGUAAGGUGAUAUGAACCGUUAUAACCGGCGAUUUCCGAAUGGGGAAACCCAGUGUGAUUCGUCACACUAUCAUUAACUGAAUCCAUAGGUUAAUGAGGCGAACCGGGGGAACUGAAACAUCUAAGUACCCCGAGGAAAAGAAAUCAACCGAGAUUCCCCCAGUAGCGGCGAGCGAACGGGGAGCAGCCCAGAGCCUGAAUCAGUGUGUGUGUUAGUGGAAGCGUCUGGAAAGGCGCGCGAUACAGGGUGACAGCCCCGUACACAAAAAUGCACAUGCUGUGAGCUCGAUGAGUAGGGCGGGACACGUGGUAUCCUGUCUGAAUAUGGGGGGACCAUCCUCCAAGGCUAAAUACUCCUGACUGACCGAUAGUGAACCAGUACCGUGAGGGAAAGGCGAAAAGAACCCCGGCGAGGGGAGUGAAAAAGAACCUGAAACCGUGUACGUACAAGCAGUGGGAGCACGCUUAGGCGUGUGACUGCGUACCUUUUGUAUAAUGGGUCAGCGACUUAUAUUCUGUAGCAAGGUUAACCGAAUAGGGGAGCCGAAGGGAAACCGAGUCUUAACUGGGCGUUAAGUUGCAGGGUAUAGACCCGAAACCCGGUGAUCUAGCCAUGGGCAGGUUGAAGGUUGGGUAACACUAACUGGAGGACCGAACCGACUAAUGUUGAAAAAUUAGCGGAUGACUUGUGGCUGGGGGUGAAAGGCCAAUCAAACCGGGAGAUAGCUGGUUCUCCCCGAAAGCUAUUUAGGUAGCGCCUCGUGAAUUCAUCUCCGGGGGUAGAGCACUGUUUCGGCAAGGGGGUCAUCCCGACUUACCAACCCGAUGCAAACUGCGAAUACCGGAGAAUGUUAUCACGGGAGACACACGGCGGGUGCUAACGUCCGUCGUGAAGAGGGAAACAACCCAGACCGCCAGCUAAGGUCCCAAAGUCAUGGUUAAGUGGGAAACGAUGUGGGAAGGCCCAGACAGCCAGGAUGUUGGCUUAGAAGCAGCCAUCAUUUAAAGAAAGCGUAAUAGCUCACUGGUCGAGUCGGCCUGCGCGGAAGAUGUAACGGGGCUAAACCAUGCACCGAAGCUGCGGCAGCGACACUAUGUGUUGUUGGGUAGGGGAGCGUUCUGUAAGCCGUUGAAGGUGGCCUGUGAGGGUUGCUGGAGGUAUCAGAAGUGCGAAUGCUGACAUAAGUAACGAUAAAGCGGGUGAAAAGCCCGCUCGCCGGAAGACCAAGGGUUCCUGUCCAACGUUAAUCGGGGCAGGGUGAGUCGACCCCUAAGGCGAGGCCGAAAGGCGUAGUCGAUGGGAAACAGGUUAAUAUUCCUGUACUUGGUGUUACUGCGAAGGGGGGACGGAGAAGGCUAUGUUGGCCGGGCGACGGUUGUCCCGGUUUAAGCGUGUAGGCUGGUUUUCCAGGCAAAUCCGGAAAAUCAAGGCUGAGGCGUGAUGACGAGGCACUACGGUGCUGAAGCAACAAAUGCCCUGCUUCCAGGAAAAGCCUCUAAGCAUCAGGUAACAUCAAAUCGUACCCCAAACCGACACAGGUGGUCAGGUAGAGAAUACCAAGGCGCUUGAGAGAACUCGGGUGAAGGAACUAGGCAAAAUGGUGCCGUAACUUCGGGAGAAGGCACGCUGAUAUGUAGGUGAAGUCCCUCGCGGAUGGAGCUGAAAUCAGUCGAAGAUACCAGCUGGCUGCAACUGUUUAUUAAAAACACAGCACUGUGCAAACACGAAAGUGGACGUAUACGGUGUGACGCCUGCCCGGUGCCGGAAGGUUAAUUGAUGGGGUUAGCGCAAGCGAAGCUCUUGAUCGAAGCCCCGGUAAACGGCGGCCGUAACUAUAACGGUCCUAAGGUAGCGAAAUUCCUUGUCGGGUAAGUUCCGACCUGCACGAAUGGCGUAAUGAUGGCCAGGCUGUCUCCACCCGAGACUCAGUGAAAUUGAACUCGCUGUGAAGAUGCAGUGUACCCGCGGCAAGACGGAAAGACCCCGUGAACCUUUACUAUAGCUUGACACUGAACAUUGGUCCUUGAUGUGUAGGAUAGGUGGGAGGCUUUGAAGCGUGGACGCCAGUCUGCAUGGAGCCAACCUUGAAAUACCACCCUUUAAUGGCUGGUGUUCUAACGUAGACCCGUAAUCCGGGUUGCGGACAGUGUCUGGUGGGUAGUUUGACUGGGGCGGUCUCCUCCUAAAGAGUAACGGAGGAGCACGAAGGUUGGCUAAUCCUGGUCGGACAUCAGGAGGUUAGUGCAAUGGCAUAAGCCAGCUUGACUGCGAGCGUGACGGCGCGAGCAGGUGCGAAAGCAGGUCAUAGUGAUCCGGUGGUUCUGAAUGGAAGGGCCAUCGCUCAACGGAUAAAAGGUACUCCGGGGAUAACAGGCUGAUACCGCCCAAGAGUUCAUAUCGACGGCGGUGUUUGGCACCUCGAUGUCGGCUCAUCACAUCCUGGGGCUGAAGUAGGUCCCAAGGGUAUGGCUGUUCGCCAUUUAAAGUGGUACGCGAGCUGGGUUUAGAACGUCGUGAGACAGUUCGGUCCCUAUCUGCCGUGGGCGCUGGAGAACUGAGGGGGGCUGCUCCUAGUACGAGAGGACCGGAGUGGACGCAUCACUGGUGUUCGGGUUGUCAUGCCAAUGGCACUGCCCGGUAGCUAAAUGCGGAAGAGAUAAGUGCUGAAAGCAUCUAAGCACGAAACUUGCCCCGAGAUGAGUUCUCCCUGACUCCUUGA